CUACAUGCAUGACUCAUUUAACAAUCUAACCCAGGUUGAUCCAGAGGGUCAAGGAGGCUUAGUUGAACGAUUCUACCCUAACAGUCAUCAAAAGGGACAUCGAACAGCGUUGCAAGGCAUGAUUCUAAACUUUCGAUGAUGGGUCACUCAGGUUCUAAAAUAGGUUGUGCCUUCCCAAUUAUGAAGAGUUAAAAUGAGAUAUCAUGUCAGAAACUCAUAAUUCAAAGUUUUUCAUACACCCAGGUAGUGCUAAGAUUUACCCAAACGUGAGACCCUGGUUUCGGUGAAACAGUAUGAAAAAGGAUAUUGUCGAGUUCGUCUCUAAGUGCUUCACUUAUCAAUGAGUUAAAACAGAAUAUCAAUGAUCGGGGAGCUUAUUCCAACUACUAUUGAUUCCUAAGUGGAA
rnacentral:lncRNA from 1 species